rnacentral:lncRNA from 1 species
GGGGAUAGUAGAGGAUAGGAAAGGCAGCAGAAUACAACAGACACUAGUAUGGCAAUAUGUAAAUCAAUGGAUGUGUAACUGAUGUGAUUCUGCAAUCUGUAUAUGGGGUAAAAAUGGGAGCUCAUAACCCACUUGAAUCAAAUUGUGAAAUAUGAUAUAUCAAGAACUACGUAAUGUUUUGAACAGCCAACAAUAAAAAAAAAA